GACGAACGCUGACGGUGUGCUUUAGACAUGCAAGUCGAACGGGAAAGCCCUUCGGGGUGAGUAAAGUGGCGAACGGGUGAGUAACACGUGGGCAACCUGCCCCUCGCGGGGGGACAACCGGAGGAAACUCCGGCUAAUACCCCGUACGCUUACGGGAUCGCAUGAUCCUGUAAGGAAAGGUAGCUUCGGCCAUCCGGCGAGGGAUGGGCCCGCGGUACAUUAGCUAGUUGGUGGGGUAACGGCCCACCAAGGCGACGAUGUAAGCUGGUCUGAGAGGAUGAUCAGCCACACUGGGACUGAGACACGGCCCAGACUCCUACGGGAGGCAGCAGUCGGGAAUCUUGCGCAAUGGGCGAAAGCCUGACGCAGCAACACCGUGUGAGUGACGAAGGCCUUCGGUCGU
rnacentral:rRNA from 1 species